CUACGGGAGGCAGCAGUGAGGAAUAUUGGACAAUGGGGCAACCCUGAUCCAGCCAUGCCGCGUGAGUGAAGAAGGCCUUCGGGUUGUAAAGCUCUUUCGGCCGGGAAGAAAUUGCGCGCUCUAACAUAGCGUGUAGAUGACGGUACCGGAGCAAGAGGCACCGGCUAACUACGUGCCAGCAGCCGCGGUAAUACGUAGGGUGCGAGCGUUAAUCGGAAUUACUGGGCGUAAAGCGUGCGCAGGCGGUUUUGUAAGACAGGUGUGAAAUCCCCGGGCUCAACCUGGGAAUGGCGCUUGUGACUGCAAGACUUGAGUACGGCAGAGGGGGGUGGAAUUCCACGUGUAGCAGUGAAAUGCGUAGAGAUGUGGAGGAACACCGAUGGCGAAGGCAGCCCCCUGGGCCGAUACUGACGCUCAGGCACGAAAGCGUGGGGAGCAAACAGGAUUAGAUACCCCAGUAGUCC
rnacentral:rRNA from 1 species